GAGGAUAGGGAAUGGGACUGUUCAUUGAUAUUUCAGUUAAAAUUUCCCUAUUUUAACUGACAAAAACAAAACAAAAAACAAAAAUGUCAUAAAACCUAAGUUAUCUUUAGUUAUGUGACCAAAUAUCUUGACUCAUAACUUUUGUUGCCUAGGUCGAAGAUGUGAGUAUAUCAGUUUUUCUUUCCCCUUAGGACUCUUUCUGCAACCCUUUUAGUUCUUCGGUUUCUCCAGGCCCUUUCAUUUGAAAACCGUGAAGAACAAAGCCUGACAAAUCUAGGAAAACUUUGAUAAUCUAUCAUUCAUCUAUAUAAGUGUUCUUCUAAAUUUUCAUGGAAAAUAUGUAUUAUAAAAAAGUGUGUAUGAAUUUCAAUUUUUUUUUUGCACCAGAAUAAACUUUUUGUAACAUGUCUGAACAGGAUCUAGUGAGGGACACUAACUAUGAUAAGACAUUUAGAAAAGAGCUCUUUUAUCAGAGAAACAUAAAUUCUGCUAAAAUUGAAGGAAGAACACACAUCAAAUUUAUGGUGAGGUUUGGGUGGAAGAAUGGUGAAAUCAUUGAUGCUUCACAUAAAGGUUAUGGAGACAAUACCCCAAGGAGAUCUGCAGUUUACAAAUGGAUAACUCAUUUUAAGAGAUGAGACAAUGUUGAAGAUGAAGCCCGUAGCAGCAGACCAUUCACAGCAAUUUGUGAAGAAAAAAAGCACAGACAAUAUCUAAUAUGGUUUGGCUGUGUGUCCCCACCCAAAUCUCAUGCAGAAGUGUAAUGACAGGAAGUGUUGGAGGAGGGACAUGGAGGGAGAUGAUUGGAUCAUGUGCAUGGCUUCUGAUGGUUUAGCACCAUCGCCCUAGUGCUGUCCCAUGAUAGAGUUCUCACAAGAUCUGGUUGUUUGAAAGUGUGUAGCACCUCCCUCUUCACUUGCUGUCUCCUGCUGGCCAUGUGAAGAUGUGCUUUCUUCCCCUUCUCCCAUGAUUUUAAGUUUCCUGAGCCUCCCAGCCAUGCUUCCUGUAGAGCCUGUGGAACUGAGUCAAGCUUCUUUUCUUUAUACAGUACGCACUCUCAGGUAAUUCUUUUUUGGGAGGACAGAGUUUCACUCUUGUCACCCAGACUGGAAUGCAGUGGUGCUCUCUCGGUUCACUGCAAGCUCCGCCUCCCAGGUUCAAGUGAUUCUCCUGCCUCAGCCUUGUGAGUAGCAGGGAUUACAGGUGUUUGUCAUCAUGCCCAGCAAAUUUUUGUAUUUUUAGUAGAUAUGGGGUUUCACCAUGUUGGCCAGGUUUGUCUCGAACUCCUGAUCUCAGGUGAUCCACCUGUCUUGGCCUCCCAAAGUGCUGGGAUUACAGGUGUGAGCCACCACGCCCGACCUCAUGUAGUUCUUUAUAGCAGUGUGAGAAUGGACUAAUACAAUAUCCAACAUCAUAGAUGUCUCAGUUGGUUCAGCUUACACAAUGCUGACAGAAAAAUUAAACUUGAGCAAACUUUCCACUUGAUGGGUACCGAAACUAUUGCACCCAGAUCAGCUACAGACAAGAGUACUUUUGUUCUCCUGGUGGGUUUUCUACUUAAAAUUUCAGUUGUCUUUCAAUAAAAAUUUUAAACAAGUGGGAUCAAGAUCCUGAAGGAUUUCUUCCAAGAAUUGUAACAGGAGAUGAAACAUGGCUUUACCAGAAUAAUCCCGAAAACAAAGCACAAACAGAGCAAUAGCUACCAAGAGGUGGAAGUGGUCCAGUCAAAAUAAAAGUGGACUAGUCAAAAGCAAGGUCAUGGCAACUAUUUUUUGGGAUGCUCAAAGCAUUUUUCUUGUUGACUUUCUGGAGAGCCAAAGAACAAUAACGUCUGCUUAUUAUAAAGGUGUUAUGAGGCUGGGUACAGUGGCUUAUGCCUGUAGUCUCAGCACUUUUGGUGGCCAAGGCAGGAGGAUCCAUUGAGGCCAGGAGUUCAAGACCAGUCUGGGCAACAUAGCAAGACCUAUCUCUACAAAAAGAAAAAAAAAAUAUGAGAAUGUUUAGAGACAGCCAAAGUUUUAGCAGAAAAAUGCCCAGGUAAGCUUCACCAGAGAUUGCUUCUCCACUAAGACAAUGCUCCUGCUCAUUCCUCUCAUAAAACAAGGAAAAUUUUGAAUUUUGAUGGUAAAUCAUUAGGCAUCUACCUUAGGAGGUCUAAUUUUGCUUCUUCUGACUUCCUGUUUCCUAAUCUUUAAAAAAAAAAAAAAACUUUAAAGGGCACCCAUUUUUCUUUAGUUAAGAAACAGACUGCAUUAACAUGAUUAAAUAUCCAGGACCAUCAGUUAUUUUGCAAUGGACUAAGUGGCUGGCGUCAUUGCUUACGAAAG
rnacentral:lncRNA from 10 species